CUCCAAUGAUGAAUAACAAGAGAGUUCUGCAAUACCGACAAUUUCCAGGGUAACACCUGCGGAAUUGAAUGUUGACAUCUCACAUACACUUGAUCUGAGG
rfam:Trichophyton interdigitale MR816 cont1.206, whole genome shotgun sequence.